rnacentral:rRNA from 1 species
UACGUAGGGGGCAAGCGUUGUCCGGAAUCACUGGGCGUAAAGGGCGCGUAGGUGGCGACCCAAGUCGAUGGUGAAAGCUCGCCGCUCAACGGCGAGUCGGCCACCGAUACUGGGUUGCUGGAGCACUGUAGAGGCUCAUGGAAUUCCGGGUGUAGCGGUGGAAUGCGUAGAGAUCCGGAAGAACACCGGUGGCGAAGGCGGUGAGCUGGGCAGUUGCUGACACUGAGGCGCGACAGCGUGGGGAGCAAACAGG